CAAAUCUCCAGUGUCAAAAAUGAUAAAGAAAACAAAGACAGAAGCAAACAAACAACCAAACGUAAAAAACCCAUGAAGUAGAGGACUAUAUGAGAAGGUGGAGUAAACUGAAGUAGAGGACUAUAUGAGAAGGUGGAGUAAACUGAAGUAGAGGACUAUAUGAGAAGGUAGAGUAAACUGAAGUAGAGGACUAUAUGAGAAGGUGGAGUAAACUGAAGUAGAGGACUAUAUGAGAAGGUAGAGUAAACUGAAGUAGAGGACUAUAUGAGAAGGUAGAGUAAACUGAAGUAGAGGAC